GACUCUGAAAAGAGAAAUAGGGAAAAUAAAAAGUCAAUGGGGGGAAUUUCAAGCUCUGAUAUCAGCUCCCGGUAUAAACUGGAAGAUUGCUCAGACUUUCAAAAUGAUUUCCCGUCAGCAACGGCUCACAGUGCUCUCUCUGGCGGACUCCCGGGGCCUGCACUCGUUUUUUUUCAAGAAUGAGAGCACAUGGGGGUUUUAAUGUUUGCCAUGUUUCUGUGACCACAGUCCUGUGCAUACCGUGGCUGCCUUCCAGGGCUGAAAUUCCCCAUUUCCCUGUGAAGCCUUAGCCAGGGAGUUUCCAUGAUCUACCUGUGCCAUUCCGAGUUAAUUUCCCCGAGGUCUUAUUUGUUGACCUUGUUUUGCUGAGAAGGGAAAGGAAUGUGUGCUUCCCUGUCAUUUUUUUUCACAGAAUUAUUGUUUCUGUUUAAUCCCUAUCUUCAUUACCCGUCGCCCUUAAGCUUCUGCAUUUCUGCCAAGCUUAUAAUGAGAAUAUAACGAGGAAAUAAUGAAUUCAAACGAGGUAAAAUUUAAUUUUUCUGAUCUCGUGGCUUAAGACCGAUAAAUAGGGAAGUGCUCGUUGGACAGAUUUUUUUUUUUUAUAUGGACACAGGUGCCUUCCAUCGUGUACGUCGGAUAGAUUUUUUUAUAUGGACACAGGUGCCUUCCAGCGUGUCAGGGAACCUUCCCCACUUAUUGCAAUUAGGCACCUCGAGAAGCCUGGUGUUUAUUAGCUAUACAGAUACAAUUAGGUGUGUUGGGGCGAUAGAGGCAAUCUAAUUUAAAGCAACUUGGAGAGCUUACAAAUAUUAUGAAAUUAAAACCCAUUUAGUCACACGCACAGCAGUGCGAGCAGUGGCAGACGAAAGGGGAAACACAGUUGGCAACCCGUAACCGAGGGAGGCAGAUACAGCAGGAGAGCAAACCGGCAGCGCCAGGCGCCUGUCGUGGCUCAUCUUCCUGCAGGCAGAAUAGGUGUGCACAGAACCCGUGUGCUCUCCCCUUUAGAACGGCACGCAUAAGAAAGCUUUAGUUAGCUUGAGCCCAGUGAUGGCUGUGCACACCUUUAAUCCCAGCAGUCAGGAGGCAGAGGCAGGUGGGUGUGGGAGUUCGAGACCAGCCUGGUCUACAGAGUGGGUUCCAGAACAGUCAAGGCUACACGGAGAAACCCUGUCUCCAGAACGUUUUCGAUUGGAAAGGGGCUCCUUUUAUUUGUAUCUAAUUCACGACGGCUUCACGUUAGAACAGAAUGCUCAGCGAGCUUCAUCCUCAGAACAAAACCCGAGCUAAACCUGGAGAAGAGGGCUUUUCUAGACCCUCCGCCAUCCUGUGUACAGUGAGACACAGCUUCCGCCCUGCCUGAGAUUCCGUCCUGCCUGAGCUGUCCACCCUCGGUUCAUGCGGAAAAUCAUCUGGAGGGAAUAAUUAAUAUAGCAAUUAUGGUCUGCAUGAUGGGCCAUGAAAUUAAUUCUAUGUAGUGGCAGAAAAGUACCCUAGGGUCCUGAGUAAUUGGUUAACAAAAUGAACACAUUUGUGUGUGUGUGUGUGUGGGGGGGGUGUCCAUAUAUGUCCAUAUAUGUGUGUAGGGCAUGCACCUAUGUGUGCUGAUGUCAGAGGCAUGUGUUAUGUCCUUCAUUAACUCUCUCUGCCUAACUUUAUGGACGCAAGCGCUCUCCUCAAACCCUGAGCACACCAUUUUGUUUCCAGCUAUGAUAUUGACUCCCAGUGACCCUCCUGUCUCUGCUGCCCUCGGUGUCGGGGUUACAUGCACGCCGUGGACAAUACCCAGGUUUUAUGUGGGUAUUGGGAUCUGAACUCCAGCCUUCACGCAUCAAGCACUUUACUGUUGAGCCAUUUUCCACCCCUUAACAUAGAAUUCUAAGAAAGAAUGUUUCCGAGAUCAAACGAAGGCCUGAAAAUAUUGCGGGGUUUCCAAUAGUGGUUGGUUAGACUUGGGAAUGGGCUUCACUAACCUCAAAGAUUCUUUAACUUUUAAAUUAUCGUACAGGAAAGUUGAUUGUGUGUGUGUGUGUGUGUGUGUGUGUGUGUGUGUGUGUGUGUGUCUAAUAGUUAAUUGAAUUUUAUUUAUUACCCUUUUUGGGUCUUUUGAGACAGAGUUUCUCUGUGUAGCCCUGGCUAUCCUGGAACUCUCUGUAGACCAGGCUGGCCUCAAACUUCUAGAGACCCACCUGCCUCCGGCUCCUGAGUGCUGGGGUUAAAGGCGUGUACCACCCCCAUUUGACUAUUAACUUUGUAGUGAGGUGUGAUAGCUAGCUUUUUUUUGUCAACUUGACACAAGCUAGAGUCGUCUGGGAAGAAGAAAUAUCAGUUGUAGAAUUGCCUUCAUGGGUCUGGCCCUUAGGGUAUUUUCUUGAUUAAUGAUUGAUGUGCAAGGGCCCACCCCAUGAUGGGCAGAACUAGCCCUGGGCAGUUGUUCUAGGGUUGUAUAAAACACAUAGCUGAGGAGCCAGGCAGUAAGCAGCCUUCCCCUACGGCCUCCGCCUGAGUUCCUACCUUGACACUCCUCCAUUUCUCCCUAAGUUGUUUUGAUUAUAAUAUUUAUUAUGAUCAAAUAUAAUUAUAGUCAUAGGACACAAAUGGGGACAUGAGAGAAUGGAUUAUCAAAGUUGGGCGUUGUGUAAGAGGGACUGGUGCUUCAAGAGAAGUCAGGGCACAUAGAUAGGACUUCUCCCUAGGCUUGAUUUCUUUAGUUAUCUUUCUUAAUGUCCUGGUUUCCGAUAUGAUUUUAGUGGAAUUAAUCCCAGGCAGCUUGGGAUGACAGAAUUAACCACAGCCAGCUUAAAUUAUAAUUGCGUUUGCUGUGGGCUUGCUGUCGUGGUUCCUGGGUGGAAUGAAAAGCUGCAGUUACGGCAAGGUGGGUCACUGAUCCGACCAUGGGUACGGUGGGCCACUGGAUCUGACCAUGAGUACAGUGAGCCGUUGGAUCUGACCAGAGCUUGCUAGUCCCCAUGGGGUGGCUCACUAGCAAACUCUUGCUGUUCAUUAUGUGUGUUGGGCACCCUGGCCUCAGUUUUAGGUGUAUCUUGUUCUCUCAGUCUGUAGAGCUUAUGUCUGACAGCAGUGUGUGGUGCUAGCAUCAGACUCAGAAAGCAAAUGGGUCUGAUAAGAAGUUCUUCUGAAUCUCACGGCAAGCGCCUCAGGUUUAGGGAUAGGAACAAAUGCUGUAACCUUCACUCUGGAGAAACAUACUGUCCACUAAGAGCUUGGACAGAGGCUUAGCAGUGUGUGCUGGGUGGGCACUGAACUGUUGUUUCCUGUCAGAAGGUAAUGUACCAUUUAGCUUCAACAGUGUCCCGUGGUAAAUUCCCAUGGUUUGAAUGAAUGUUCCCAUGAUCUCAGGUGUUUGAACAUGUGGUCCCCAGGUGACGGUGCUGGUUGGGAGUUUAGGAAGUGUGGCUUUGUUGGAGGAGUUGUGUCACCAGAAGCAGGCUUUGAGAGUUUAAGGACAUGCUCUGUUUUGAGUUUGCUCUCUCUGCUCUGUGCUUGUCGUUUAAAAUGUGAUCAGCUCACCUUUAAUCCUGGCAUUGAGUUCAAGGCCAGCCUGGUCUACAAAGUAAGUUCCAGGACAGCCAGGGCUACACAGAGAAGCCCCUCUGCCCCCCAACCACCACCACCGGAAAAAAAAAAAGAUGUUAUCAUCCUCCUGAUCCUGCAGCCAUGCCUUCAACUCUGCCACAAGAGACUGUCACCCCCUAGAACUGUAAGCCUAAAUAAACUCCAUGUACUAUAAAUGGCCUUGGUCAUCGUGCUUUAUCCUGGUAAUAGAAAAGUAACCAGAAUAGUUUUAUAACAGUGGUAUUAUUGCAUGUAUCCUAGGGAGAAAGGUUGGAAGGAGAAGGCAAGCCCAAAGGAUCAAUAAGGAAUUCGGUUGGAGGAACAGGAGAAGCUGUUCCAAGGAGCAGUAGUAGCAGAAAAAAGGAAGAGCAAUAUUUACUAGAAAUUGCAUCCCCAAGUACUUGUGGCAAGGUCUGGAGCAAAGGUGGCAUCCCUGAAUAUUACAGAACUUCAGUCUCGGGCGCUACGGGGAGACCAGAGGCACGGGUAAAAAGGGGCAGGAAGGAAGCAAUGUGAAGAAAUAGAACUGACAUGAGACAGUUUCCACAGGUCAUAAAAUAAGGUGCAAUGGCGGCCUUUCCUAGAGUCCCUUUCAGAAUCAAAGCCAGAACAGAGGCAGAGGACUGGGGGAUACUGGUGUGAGUGCCUGUGUGAAAUUCAAGAGGGGGUUUGCUUUUUGAGGAUCUUAUCUAUGCCUUUUGGCUCUCGGGUUAGCAUUGCUGGCAAUGCUGGUAUCUAACUGUUCUAUUGCUGUGAAGAGACACCAUGACCAAAGCAACUCUUACAAAAGAAAGCGCUGAACUGAGGCUUGCUUAUAGUUUCAGGGGUUUAGUUCAUUCUUAUAAUGGUGGAAAGGCUGGUGGCAUGGAGGCAAGAAGUAGCCGAGAGCUUUACAUCCUGAUCCUUAUGCAGCCAGAAGAGAGAGAUAACACACACACAUACACACACACACACCACACACACACAUACCACACACACAGACACACACAUACACACACACACCACAUACACAGACACACAUACCACACACACACACACCACACACACACACCACACACAGACACACACACCACACACACACACACACACACACACACACACGAGAGAGACAGAGAGAGAGAGAGAGAGAGAGAGAGAGAGAGAGAGAGAGAGAAUGGGAUAAUGUCUCCUGUGGAAUAUAAUAAUUUUAUGUGUUAUUAAUCUUGAAUUAAGAGUUAAAGUUUUGGUACAUUACUUCUUUCCUUUCUUUUCUUUUCUUUUCUUUUCUUUUUUUUUUUUAGUGCUGGGAUCAAAUUCAGUGCUUUGCUGCUCUUUCCUAUUAAGGGCUCUUUCCUAUAACGGCACAUCCAACCCUUUGAAUUACUAGGUGAGUUACGACAAUACAUGGCUUACUUCGUAAUGUAACAGCAAUUGUGAGAGCUCACUGGGUUUCCCUGGAUUUGGAAGCUGGCACAUCCUCAGAAGCACUUACCUGGAACCCCUCCGACAAACACAGGCUCCCUGUGAUCAACCGGCUUUGGGUUCAGGGGUCCAACUACAUGGUUCACCUCUGAAUCUACAUCCAACUGAACCACGUUGGAGUCUCUAAUAACUGAAAAGCAGGACAAAGACGGGUUACAUGCGACACUGGGGUAAUUUUUACAUGAAAUAAUUUAUCACAACACCAUUCAUUCCAGACUAAAAAUCACCACAUUAUCAUAGAAAAUGGCAACAAUGUCAGCAUAAUUAACUAAGCAAUCAUAAUGACAUUUUCCUUAGAAAAGGGGACUAUUAGACUACACUCUACAUUUGUUUCUCUAAAAGUUUCAUGACAGCAGCUUAUACCAUCUAAUGCUAAGGGAUCCAGCACCCUCUUCUGGAUUCUGUUGGCACCAGGCAUGCAUGUGGUACACAGACAUAUGUGCAAGCAAACAUGUAAAAUUAAUUAAAAAAAAAAGAAAGAAAGAGAAUAGCGCGGGACUACAGAGAUGGCUCAACAGCUAAGAGUAUGUACACAUUUUAGUCUGGUGAUAGUAUUAUAUUACUCUCUCUUGUCAUCCAUCAGUAUCAUGUAAAAUCUAAGGUCUUCCAGGACGCCACCCUCCAUGUGCUACGCCUGUACGUGAGACCUGGGACAUUCCAAGUUCUUCACCUGUAAUUCUGUGCCAUCUGCCAUCGCAGAGAUUCUGCUUGGGGGUGACUGAGGUAGAAAAGUCUCUGACGCCAUUGUUGACUUUCACUAUGACCUGCCAAGACGAGGCAUGUUAUACAGUUAGUCGAAUUUCUUACCGUCAGGAGAAAACUGAGUUUCAUAACUAGCUUACCAUAGAUAGGAAAUACUGUGCAUAAAUACUCAUACAUGAGUACACUCGCAAUGUGAACACAAGAGGUCACUAUUUCAUAGGUGAUAGAAACAGUUUACAUUAAAAUAGUUUAACUGCAUGUUUCGAGAGGGGACAAAAUGAUCCUACUAGAGACAAAUCGAGGAAUGGUAAGAACUGUAUACAAUGAAUUUGCUUAGUUUACACACUGUGUUCUGUUUACAGAAAGCAGGUUGAGACCCUGAAGACACUCUGGGGCAGGCCCUGCGCCUGGCAUAGUUGGCCAGUGCACGACAAAUUCAGCUUACUCUUGUAAAUUUUUCCCAUUUUAUUUUUUUUCUUACUGAUCUUUUGCUUGUUUGUUUCGAUUUCUGUUUUUGUCUUUUCUUUUUUAAGAGAGAGAAGAACAUAAAAUUGAGGGAGUAGGAAGGUUGGGAGGACCAGGGAGAAGUUGAAGAAGAAAAA